rnacentral:rRNA from 1 species
UACGUAGGGGGCAAGCGUUGUCCGGAAUCAUUGGGCGUAAAGAGCGUGUAGGCGGCCCGGUAAGUCCGCUGUAAAAGUCAAAGGCUCAACCUUUGAAUGUCAGUGGAUACUGCCGGGCUAGAGUCCGGAAGAGGCGAGUGGAACUCCUGGUGUAGCGGUGGAAUGCGCAGAUAUCAGGAAGAACACCAACGGCGAAGGCAGCCCCCUGGGUUAACACUGACGCUCAGGCACGAAAGCGUGGGGAGCAAACAGG